rnacentral:rRNA from 1 species
GGAUGCCUAGUGNAUGCCUAGAAGGCGAUGAAGGACGUGAUAAUCUGCGAUAAGCUUCGGGGAGUGGGUAAAUACACUUUGAUCCGGAGAUCUCCGAAUGGGGCAACCCAUCCCACUUGUGGGAUAUCUCUAUCUGAAUACAUAGGAUAGUGAGGCGAACCUGGGGAACUGAAACAUCUAAGUACCCAGAGGAAAAGAAAUCAACCGAGAUUCCGUGAGUAGUGGCGAACGAAAGCGGAACAGCCCUGUAACAUAAUGUUUGUAAUGUCUAAUAGAACAGAAUGGAAAGUCUGACCAUAGUGGGUGAUAGUCCCGUACAUGAAAGGCAUUAUAAGUUGGUUACGAUGAGUAGGUCGGGACACGUGUUAUCUUGACUGAAUAUGGGGGGACCAUCCUCCAAGGCUAAAUACUCUCUGCUGACCGAUAGCGAACCAGUACCGUGAGGGAAAGGUGAAAAGAACCCCUGUUAGGGGAGUGAAAUAGAACCUGAAACCGUAUGCAUACAAGCAGUAGGAGCACGUUUAUCGUGUGACUGCGUACCUUUUGUAUAAUGGGUCAGCGACUUACUUGCAGUGGCAAGCUUAACCGAAUAGGGGAGGCAUAGGGAAACCGAGUCUUAAUAGGGCGUUUUAGUCGCUGUGAGUAGACCCGAAACCGGGCGAUCUAUCCAUGGCCAGGGUGAAGGCUAGGUAACACUAGCUGGAGGCCCGAACCCACUAAUGUUGAAAAAUUAGGGGAUGAGCUGUGGAUAGGAGUGAAAGGCUAAUCAAGCCCGGAGAUAGCUGGUUCUCCUCGAAAUCUAUUUAGGUAGAGCCUCGUGUAUAACUCCUGGGGGUAGAGCACUGUUUAGGCUAGGGGGCUGUCAAGGCUUACCAAACCUAUGCAAACUCCGAAUACCAGGAAGUUUGAGCACGGGAGACACACUGCGGGUGAUAACGUCCGUAGUGGAAAGGGAAACAACCCAGACCGCCGGCUAAGGUCCCAAAAUCACAGUUAAGUGGAAAACGUUGUAGGAAGUCAUAAACAGCCAGGAGGUUGGCUUAGAAGCAGCCAUCCUUUAAAGAUAGCGUAAUAGCUCACUGGUCGAGUCGUCCUGCGCGGAAGAUUUAACGGGGCUAAAACUGUGUACCGAAGCCGCGGAGUCAAAGCUUGCUUUGACUGGUAGAGGAGCGUUCUGUAGGCCGUUGAAGGUGAACUGAGAAGUUUGCUGGAGGUAUCAGAAGUGCGAAUGCUGACAUAAGUAACGAUAAUGCGAGUGAAAAACUCGCACGCCGAAAGUCCAAGGUUUCCUUGCGCAACGUUAAUCGACGCAGGGUGAGUCGGCCCCUAAGGCGAGGCAGAAAUGCGUAGUCGAUGGGAAACAGGUUAAUAUUCCUGUACUUGGUAAUACUGCGAUGGGAGGACGGAGAAAGCUAGGCCAGCCAAUUAAUGGUUAUAUUGGUUUAAGCAUGUAGGAAGAGUCUUUAGGCAAAUCCGGAGACUUAAUUCUGAGAUGUGAUGACGACUCAUACAAGCUUGCUUGUAAGAGGAAGUGGUUGAUGCUAUGCUUCCAAGAAAAGUCCCUAAGCUUCAGGUAUUACUGAACCGUACCCCAAACCAACACAGGUGGACAGGUAGAGAAUACCAAGGCGCUUAAGAGAACUCGGGUGAAGGAACUAGGCAAAAUAGCACCGUAACUUCGGGAGAAGGUGCGCCCUUUUUGGUGAAGAGACUUGCUCUUGGAGCUGAGAAGGGCCGCAGUGACCAGAUGGCUGCGACUGUUUAUUAAAAACACAGCACUCUGCAAACUCGCAAGAGGAGGUAUAGGGUGUGACGCCUGCCCGGUGCCGGAAGGUUAAUUGAUGUGGUUAAUUAUCUUCGGAUGAUGAAGCUAUUGAUCGAAGCCCCGGUGAACGGCGGCCGUAACAAUAACGGUCCUAAGGUAGCGAAAUUCCUUGUCGGGUAAGUUC